rnacentral:lncRNA from 1 species
UAUAUAAAAUGAUAAUCAUCAUUUACCAAUUGGUGGAAUCAAUAUACAAAGUUCUAUUAGCAUUGAAUAAAAAUUUCUUCCUCACUUAUCCUUGGAUUGUCCCAUCUUAGCAUCUCAUCAUAUUACUUAUACAUACAUAAGAUAAGUAUAAUGUAAUAAGUGAUUGAAGAGUUGGGAUUAUGAUGGAUACUUACUCAAUAUAUGGAU